AUACGGAGGAUGCGAGCGUUAUCCGGAUUUAUUGGGUUUAAAGGGAGCGUAGGUGGGAUAUUAAGUCAGCUGUGAAAGUUUGGGGCUCAACCUUAAAAUUGCAGUUGAUACUGGUUUCCUUGAGUACGGUACAGGUGGGCGGAAUUCGUGGUGUAGCGGUGAAAUGCUUAGAUAUCACGAAGAACUCCGAUCGCGAAGGCAGCUCACCGGGCCGGAACUGACACUGAUGCUCGAAAGUGUGGGUAUCAAACAGGAUUAGAUACCCUGGUAGUCCACACAGUAAACGAUGAAUACUCGCUGUUUGCGAUAUACAGUAAGCGGCCAAGCGAAAGCGUUAAGUAUUCCACCUGGGGAGUACGCCGGCAACGGUGAAACUCAAAUGAAUUGGCGGGG
rnacentral:rRNA from 1 species